UGGCGGACGGGUGAGUAAUGUCUGGGAAACUGCCCGAUGGAGGGGGAUAACUACUGGAAACGGUAGCUAAUACCGCAUAACGUCGCAAGACCAAGAGGGGACCUUCGGGCCUCUUGCCAUCGGAUGUGCCCAGAUGGGAUUAGCUAGUAGGUGGGGUAACGGCUCACCUAGGCGACGAUCCCUAGCUGGUCUGAGAGGAUGACCAGCCACACUGGGACUGAGACACGGCCCAG
rnacentral:rRNA from 1 species